CCUACGGGUGGCAGCAGUCGAGAAUCAUUCACAAUGGGGGAAACCCUGAUGGUGCGACGCCGCGUGGGGGAAUGAAGGUCUUCGGAUUGUAAACCCCUGUCAUGUGGGAGCAAAUUAAAAAGAUAGUACCACAAGAGGAAGCGACGGCUAACUCUGUGCCAGCAGUCGCGGUAAUACAGAGGUCUCAAGCGUUGUUCGGAAUCACUGGGCGUAAAGCGGGCGUAGGCGGUUUAGUAAGUCGUGUGUGAAAGGCGCGGGCUCAACCCGCGGACGGCACAUGAUAUUGCGAGACUAGAGGAAGGGAGGGGGAACGGGAAGUCUCGGUGUAGGAGUGAAAUGCGUAGAGAUCGAGAGGAAGACUCGUGGCGAAGGCGGGUUCCUGGACAUUAACUGACGCUGAGGCACGAAGGCCAGGGGAGCGAAAGGGAUUAGAUACCCUUGUAGUC
rnacentral:rRNA from 1 species